GAACGCUGGCGGCGUGCCUAAUACAUGCAAGUCGAGCGAGCUUGCCUAGAUGAUUUUAUUGCUUGCACUAAAUGAAACUAGAUACAAGCGAGCGGCGGACGGGUGAGUAACACGUGGGUAACCUGCCCAAGAGACUGGGAUAACACCUGGAAACAGAUGCUAAUACCGGAUAACAACACUAGACGCAUGUCUAGAGUUUGAAAGAUGGUUCUGCUAUCACUCUUGGAUGGACCUGCGGUGCAUUAGCUAGUUGGUAAGGUAACGGCUUACCAAGGCAAUGAUGCAUAGCCGAGUUGAGAGACUGAUCGGCCGCAUUGGGACUGAGACACGGCCCAAACUCCUACGGGAGGCAGCAGUAGGGAAUCUUCAACAAUGGACGAAAGUCUGAUGGAGCAACGCCGCGUGAGUGAAGAAGGGUUUCGGCUCGUAAAGCUCUGUUGGUAGUGAAGAAAGAUAGAGGUAGUAACUGGCCUUUAUUUGACGGUAAUUACUUAGAAAGUCACGGCUAACUACGUGCCAGCAGCCGCGGUAAUACGUAGGUGGCAAGCGUUGUCCGGAUUUAUUGGGCGUAAAGCGAGUGCAGGCGGUUCAAUAAGUCUGAUGUGAAAGCCUUCGGCUCAACCGGAGAAUUGCAUCAGAAACUGUUGAACUUGAGUGCAGAAGAGGAGAGUGGAACUCCAUGUGUAGCGGUGGAAUGCGUAGAUAUAUGGAAGAACACCAGUGGCGAAGGCGGCUCUCUGGUCUGCAACUGACGCUGAGGCUCGAAAGCAUGGGUAGCGAACAGGAUUAGAUACCCUGGUAGUCCAUGCCGUAAACGAUGAG
rnacentral:rRNA from 1 species